AUCGAACGCUGGCGGCAGGCCUAACACAUGCAAGUCGAGCGGAGCGGCGGACGGGAGUGUAAUGCCUAGGAAUCUGCCUGGUAGUGGGGGAUAACGUUCGGAAACGGGCGCUAAUACCGCAUACUAUCAGAUGAGCCUCGGUCGGAUUAGCUAGUUGGUGGGGGUAAGGCCUACCAAGGCGACGAUCCGUAACUGAUCUGAGAGGAUGAUCAGUCACACUGGACUUGGGACACUGUCCAGACUCCUACGGGAGGCAGCAGUGGGGCAUAUUGGGCAAUGGGCGAAAGCCUGAUCCAGCCAGGCCGCGUGUGUGAAGAAGGUCUUCGGAUUGUAAAGCCCUUUAAGUUGGGAGGCGUUACCAGCAGAAUAAGCACCGGCUAACUUCGUGCCAGCCGCCGCGGUAAUUC
rnacentral:rRNA from 1 species